UACGGAGGGGGCUAACGUUGUUCGGAAUUACUGGGCGUAAAGCGCGCGUAGGCGGCUUUGUAAGUUAGAGGUGAAAGCCCGGAGCUCAACUCCGGAACUGCCUUUAAGACUGCAUCGCUAGAACGAUGGAGAGGUAAGUGGAAUUCCGAGUGUAGAGGUGAAAUUCGUAGAUAUUCGGAAGAACACCAGUGGCGAAGGCGACUUACUGGACAUCUGUUGACGCUGAGGUGCGAAAGCGUGGGGAGCAAACAGG
rnacentral:rRNA from 1 species